rnacentral:lncRNA from 1 species
GGUCUGCUCGGCUAUUCAUGCAGGCGUGACGAAUAUUUUCCCCCCAACAGCUUUCAUAUGAAACCCUGAGGUUCUCAUGCUCUACCUAAUCCCUUAAACAAGCUCCUCAUCAAACUUACUGAGCUAAGCUCAAACUCAACACCAUUCUAAGAUGAGCCAAUCUUUAGCAGGGCGGUCCCUACCUGAAGCUUCGCUUAUUUAAACCUUUAUGGAGAAAUAAGGAAGCUUCAGUAAUCUAGCGAUGCAUCAACAGUCUUGGACAUAAAACAAUAGCAUUCUAGCAGGUAUCUCCAGGUCCCUCCUGCAAGGACUGGUACCAACAACUUAUAGGGUUUGCUUGAACUAUUUCUGAAAGCUCUCUGACACUGUCAACAUAAAAAGAAGUAUCUCAUGCGGUAUUAUUGCUUAAAAUGAAAACUUAGGGAAAAAACAGAGGGCAUAAAUGCACGCUUAACACAAGCCAUAGAAACACAAGUCUAAAGGCUUUUGUUUGCUUCUUCCGCUUAUAGUAUAUAUAUUUACUAACAUGUUCUUUUACACAUAACUUGAAUAACAUUAGUACAAACCGCACGAUGACAAAAAAUAAAAUCCAGAUGACCACCAC